rnacentral:rRNA from 1 species
UACGUAGGGUGCGAGCGUUAAUCGGAAUUACUGGGCGUAAAGCGUGCGUAGGCGGUUCGUUAAGUUCGUUGUGAAAGCCCCGGGCUCAACCUGGGAAUGGCAAUGGAUACUGGCAGGCUCGAGUAUGGUAGAGGAAGGUGGAAUUCCCGGUGUAGCAGUGAAAUGCGUAGAGAUCGGGAGGAACACCAGUGGCGAAGGCGGCCUUCUGGACCAAUACUGACGCUCAUGCACGAAAGCGUGGGGAGCAAACAGG